rnacentral:rRNA from 1 species
GGGCCCGCACAAGCAGCGGAGCGUGUUGCUUAAUUCGAUGCAACGCGAAGAACCUUACCUGGCCUUGACAUGCAUCUCUAAGUGUGUGAAAGCACAUGACCCCUCGGGGAAUUUGCACAGGUGCUGCAUGGCUGUCGUCAGCUCGUGUCGUGAGAUGUUGGGUUAAGUCCCGCAACGAGCGCAACCCUUAUGUUUUGUUGCCACUUUCGCUUCGGCGGAAAGCACUCUAAACAGACUGCCUCGUCUCAACGAGGAGGAAGGUGGGGAUGACGUCAAGUCAGUAUGGCCCUUACGGCCAGGGCUGCACACGUACUACAAUGCCCAGUACAAUGGGAAGCAAUACCGCGAGGUGGAGCAAAUCCUCAAAACUGGGCCCAGUUCAGAUUGUAGUCUGCAACUCGACUACAUGAAGUCGGAAUC